GGCAUAACAAGUGUUGAGUUGGCUAAACAUAGUCAUCAAUAAACAUUAAGAUCAUGUAUCAAAAGGGAUUACAAUAUACUAUGGUCAAGCACACUUCUAACCUUAAUAUCGUUACAUUACAUAUCUAUACAUUAUUAUACAAUCUGUCAUGUCCACAUUCUAACUAUUACAUACAUAAGACUUCAUUACUCUUCUUGACUUCUCUGUCUAACCCGUACCUACAAACCUGGGGAAUUUGGGAGAGGGGUGAGCUACUAGAGCUCAGUGAGCAGAAUAAUAAAGCAUUUAAAACACAUGCUAUCAUGAAAUGCAUCACAUCACAACUAAUCAUAUCAAGGAUGAACUUGUCACCAUUUAGCCCUCUACAUAUUCCAAUCAUGCCAAGGGCGUAGUGCAGGCCACACCUGGUCUUUCUCUUAUACAUAACAUAACAUACAUAACCAAUGGUGCCGGGGGCGUAGUGCAGGCCACAUCCGGUCUUUCUCUUACAUAGUGCCAGGGGCGUAGUGCAUGCCACACCUGGACUUCCAUACCAUAUCCUCAUGUCAUAACAUCUGAGGGCUAAUGGAUCAUUCAACAUUCAUCCACAUCAACAACAUAUUAUGCAAUGCAACAUAUUCGUGAUUUCUAAUGCAAACAACCUAAAAUAUCUCAUGGCAUCCGUGAUGCAUGAACAUGCUCAAAACUGAUUUAUUUACUUGAAACAUAAGGAGUCAUUCUACUCACCUCUGGCUAGCUCUGACACUGACUGAAGCAACUGACCCACUGCUGGGGUCCUCGGUUCC
rnacentral:lncRNA from 1 species